rnacentral:rRNA from 1 species
UGGGGAAUCUUAGACAAUGGGGGAAACCCUGAUCUAGCCAUGCCGCGUGAGUGACGAAGGCCUUAGGGUCGUAAAGCUCUUUCGCCAGGGAUGAUAAUGACAGUACCUGGUAAAGAAACCCCGGCUAACUCCGUGCCAGCAGCCGCGGUAAUACGGAGGGGGUUAGCGUUGUUCGGAAUUACUGGGCGUAAAGCGCGCGUAGGCGGGCUGUUAAGUUGGGGGUGAAAUCCCGGGGCUCAACCUCGGAAUUGCCUCCAAAACUGGCAGUCUAGAGUCCGAGAGAGGUGAGUGGAACUCCGAGUGUAGAGGUGAAAUUCGUAGAUAUUCGGAAGAACACCAGUGGCGAAGGCGGCUCACUGGCUCGGUACUGACGCUGAGGUGCGAAAGCGUGGGGAGCAAACAGGAUUAGAUACCCCCGUAGUCC